GUCGUUGCUCACUCGAGUGUUAACGAUAUCCCCCUCUCAUUCUGAUCACCACUAAACAGUCAAAUCUUGAGUGUUAUGUGUUUGUAUAAUGUCAAUAGGAAGCAGGUAGCAAGUUGGAGAGAUGAUUUUCUGGUUUAUGGCGGAUUUUU
ensembl:ncRNA C33F10.18 ncRNA